UACGUAGGGUGCAAGCGUUGUCCGGAAUUAUUGGGCGUAAAGAGCUCGUAGGCGGUUCGUCGCGUCGGCUGUGAAAACCCGGGGCUCAACCCCGGGCCUGCAUUCGAUACGGGCAGACUAGAGUUCGGUAGGGGAGUCUGGAAUUCCUGGUGUAGCGGUGAAAUGCGCAGAUAUCAGGAAGAACACCGGUGGCGAAGGCGGGACUCUGGGCCGAUACUGACGCUGAGGAGCGAAAGCGUGGGGAGCGAACAGG
rnacentral:rRNA from 1 species